GACUCUCGGCAACGGAUAUCUCGGCUCUCGCAUCGAUGAAGACGUAGCGAAAUGCGAUACUUGGUGUGAAUUGCAGAAUCCCGUGAACCAUCGAGUCUUUGAACGCAAGUUGCGCCCGAGGCCUCUGGUCGAGGGCAGUCUGCCUGGGUGUCA
rnacentral:rRNA from 1 species